UGUUCUACUGCCGCUGGUAAGUGAUUUCGUGAGCUUUGUAGCUGUCAGUGUUUUGUGCUUUGUCCGUUUCUUUUAUUUUGAACGAUUGUGCGAACAUCGCAUAGCACGCGCUAUGUCUUCUGUGUUGUAGCUGUCUGGCCAGGGUGACUGGCGGGUGAGGUCUUGUGGGUGGCCUCGAGACUUAAAUUAAGUAGCAGCGGGGCUUUGUGAAGGACAAGAUGGCGAUGGCGGGCCGUGCGGGUCCCCUCCCUAUGAUGAGGACCUUUUCACAGACCUGUACUGAGCUCCGUGAGGAUAAGUGACUCUGAGGAGAUGGGCCCUGCAAGCCUCCUACUUAGCCGUCGGCUCAGAAGAUAGCGUUUUCGAAAUGCCCUGUGUUGACCUAAUGUCUUCUUGGACUCUUGCCUGCAGGGUUUACGCGCACGUUGGAAUCGAAGACAGCUCUAUGUUACAGUAAGUUCUUAUGGCCAUUUCUUAACCUCUGCGCUUUCGUUGAGUGUGUGGAAGUUGCUACGGGGAUGAUUUUACAAACUGAACUCUCUCUUUCUGAUGGAUUAGUGGAGAAAACACAAAAAUUCUGAGUAGCACUGUACGCAAUAAAUGUCAGGGACUUAUCGAUUUGUCUGAGGUGUUAGUGAAGGCUGUUAUUUUUUCAGAUGUUUAGCCCACAAGAGCUCACUGAUGAAGGAAUGGGACAAGACCCAUCUUUCUGCAAAGCCAGCGUUACAGUAAUGUUCCAGGUAGGUGUACAUGCUUUUAUAAUCUUACAGAGGAGACCUUGCUAGAUAACCACUCCGUGAUGAACACAAAAUGACAAGCAUAUGGCUGAACUUAUAAGUGAUGUCAUCUUACUACUGAGAAGUGACAGCGAGGUCUUCAGGGGUCUUUGAAUGACUAUUUUUAGGUACAUAAAAUGCCUUCCUCUGUUGUCUACAGCAUCUCAUAAUCUAUCCUGAGGAAUUCAGCUGCCUCCCAGGGUGAAUACAGGUAAUUAUUCAAAUUGGUGUAUGUCAUCUCUGUAAAUGUUCACAAGAGAACAAGUGGCCGGCGGAAGCAAUUUUGUUUUUUGGCGCCUUCCAUCUUGUUCCUCUUGAGAUAAUUUUCUGGGAAGCGAGAUCGCAACCCGGUACUACAGUUCUUGUAAGGGCGCGCUGUUAUCCUCAUCCAUAUAUGGAUCACUUUACUGUCAGAUGAUUUGAAUUGAUAAGCUGAUGUUCUGUGAGGUACAAAAAUUAAUAGCAUGUUAGAGUUCUGAUGGCAGUUGUUGAUUUUGAAUAAGUUUCAUUCCAUCCUAAUACCUUAAAAUAACUAAUUUGCUUUGCUUUCCAGGUAUUCCUCAUGACAAUCUGCCUCUAUCUUACAGUACGUUGCUUUUUUAAUUCUAUGGGCCUAUUAUCUAAUUGAUAACUUAGCCAUCUUGAUGUUUGUUACCAAAGCCUGCUUAAACCAUAAAGUUUUCUGGUUCCUCUUGUUCUCUGUAGUGAUGUUUCCAGACCUCCCCUUUUUUCUCUCAGAUAGAUGCCCACUGAUCUGCCCAGGGUCAGACGAAUGCUUGUCAGUUGUAGGUUUCCACCGUUUAGCUCCAAUGAGGAGGAAACAUCCUGCCUCAGCCCUGUUCUAGCCUGGGAACCAGUAAUUGUGAACCCACCAGGAUUAACUGAAAAGGGGCAUGAGAGCUUAUUCCAUAAGCUGUCUGAGGCAUUUGGUUACCUUUUCUUAGCUUGUCCACUAGCAACCGUAACUAAAAUAGUUUUGGCUGUUUGGGAUAAUUAGCUAAUUGAUUGAUUUUUUUGAUUCAGGAGCAGCUUGUUGCCAUAUAACAUUGAAAAACCUUCAGAGCUGAGAGGUUAGUUGAUUUUUUUUUUUUUUUUUUUUGCUCCUUACCGCUUAUGCCACCAAGUAGACAGUUUCUAUGAUGAAUCAAACUAGCUCACUAUGACUGACAGUGAAAAUACAUGAACACCUGAGAAAUUGGAGAAUGCAGGGAGUGGGGGGUAACCAUGUCUGAGAAAUCUUUCACCCACAGUUUUGUUUUUCUCUAGGUGUUAGUGACCAAUAACCUCUUUGGCUCUAAGGGCCAGCACCUUCUCUCUAGCACUCAAGAGGAGUUUGAGGAAAACUAGGUGUUACUGUUCACUCCAGACUGCAGUUACAGGUCUGAGUAAAGAACAAGGUGCAUAAGAAAUGGAAUCUGUCUUGGAGGACAUCAGAAGGUGAAUUUUCCAAGUCCUUGGAUAACCUAGCUGUUGAA